GGGGAGCCGGAGGGAAACCGAGUCUUAACCGGGCGUUAAGUUGCAGGGUAUAGACCCGAAACCCGGUGAUCUAGCCAUGGGCAGGUUGAAGGUUGGGUAACACUAACUGGAGGACCGAACCGACUAAUGUUGAAAAAUUAGCGGAUGACCUGUGGCUGGGGGUGAAAGGCCAAUCAAACCGGGAGAUAGCUGGUUCUCCCCGAAAGCUAUUUAGGUAGCGCCUCGUGAAUUCAUCUCCGGGGGUAGAGCACUGUUUCGGCUAGGGGGCCAUCCCGGCUUACCAACCCGAUGCAAACUGCGAAUACCGGAGAAUGUUAUCACGGGAGACACACGGCGGGUGCUAACGUCCGUCGUGAAGAGGGAAACAACCCAGACCGCCAGCUAAGGUCCCAAAGUCAUGGUUAAGUGGGAAACGAUGUGGGAAGGCCCAGACAGCCAGGAUGUUGGCUUAGAAGCAGCCAUCAUUUAAAGAAAGCGUAAUAGCUCACUGGUCGAGUCGGCCUGCGCGGAAGAUGUAACGGGGCUAAACCAUGCACCGAAGCUGCGGCAGCGACACUCAGGUGUUGUUGGGUAGGGGAGCGUUCUGUAAGCCUGUGAAGGUGUGUCGUGAGGCAUGCUGGAGGUAUCAGAAGUGCGAAUGCUGACAUAAGUAACGAUAAAGCGGGUGAAAAGCCCGCUCGCCGGAAGACCAAGGGUUCCUGUCCAACGUUAAUCGGGGCAGGGUGAGUCGACCCCUAAGGCGAGGCCGAAAGGCGUAGUCGAUGGGAAACGGGUUAAUAUUCCCGUACUUGGUGUUACUGCGAAGGGGGGACGGAGAAGGCUAUGUUGGCCGGGCGACGGUUGUCCCGGUUUAAGCGUGUAGGUGUGUGUUCCAGGUAAAUCCGGUUCACUUUAACACUGAGGCGUGACGACGAGGCACUACGGUGCUGAAGCAACAAAUGCCCUGCUUCCAGGAAAAGCCUCUAAGCAUCAGGUAACAUCAAAUCGUACCCCAAACCGACACAGGUGGUCAGGUAGAGAAUACCAAGGCGCUUGAGAGAACUCGGGUGAAGGAACUAGGCAAAAUGGUGCCGUAACUUCGGGAGAAGGCACGCUGACACGUAGGUGAAGUGAUUUACUCAUGGAGCUGAAGUCAGUCGAAGAUACCAGCUGGCUGCAACUGUUUAUUAAAAACACAGCACUGUGCAAACACGAAAGUGGACGUAUACGGUGUGACGCCUGCCCGGUGCCGGAAGGUUAAUUGAUGGGGUCAGCGCAAGCGAAGCUCCUGAUCGAAGCCCCGGUAAACGGCGGCCGUAACUAUAACGGUCCUAAGGUAGCGAAAUUCCUUGUCGGGUAAGUUCCGACCUGCACGAAUGGCGUAAUGAUGGCCAGGCUGUCUCCACCCGAGACUCAGUGAAAUUGAACUCGCUGUGAAGAUGCAGUGUACCCGCGGCAAGACGGAAAGACCCCGUGAACCUUUACUAUAGCUUGACACUGAACAUUGAGCCUUGAUGUGUAGGAUAGGUGGGAGGCUUU
rnacentral:rRNA from 1 species